rfam:Dipodomys ordii contig_17220, whole genome shotgun sequence.
GGGAAAGUGGCUCAGUGGUAGAGCACUUGCCUUGCAUGCAUGAGGUCCUGGGUUCGAUUCCUCAGCACCA